GCCGACUUAGCUCAAUUGGCAGAGCAACUGAUUUGUAAUCAGUAGGUUGUAGGUUCGAUUCCUAUAGCCGGCACCA
rnacentral:tRNA from 1 species